rnacentral:rRNA from 1 species
GACGAACGCUGGCGGCGUGCUUAACACAUGCAAGUCGAACGGAAAGGCCCUGCUUUUGUGGGGUGCUCGAGUGGCGAACGGGUGAGUAACACGUGAGUAACCUGCCCUUGACUUUGGGAUAACUUCAGGAAACUGGGGCUAAUACCGGAUAGGAGCUCCUGCUGCAUGGGGGGGGUUGGAAAGUUUCGGCGGUUGGGGAUGGACUCGCGGCUUAUCAGCUGGUUGGUGGGGUAGUGGCUUACCAAGGCUUUGACGGGUAGCCGGCCUGAGAGGGUGACCGGCCACAUUGGGACUGAGAUACGGCCCAGACUCCUACGGGCGGCAGAAGUGGGGAAUAUUGCACAAUGGGCGGACGCCUGAUGCAGCAACGCCGCGUGCGGGAUGACGGCCUUCGGGUUGUAAACCGCUUUCGCCUGUGACGAAGCGUGAGUGACGGUAAUGGGUAAAGAAGCACCGGCUAACUACGUG